rnacentral:rRNA from 1 species
UACGUAGGGAGCGAGCGUUGUCCGGAUUCAUUGGGCGUAAAGAGCUCGUAGGCGGCUUGAUAAGUCGGAUGUGAAACCUCCAGGCUCAACCUGGAGUCGCCAUCCGAUACUGUCAUGGCUAGAGUCCGGUAGGGGCCCACGGAAUUCCUGGUGUAGCGGUGAAAUGCGCAGAUAUCAGGAGGAACACCGGUGGCGAAGGCGGGUCUCUGGGCCAUUACUGACGCUGAGACACGAAAGCGUGGGUAGCAAACAGG